GACGGAAGGUGCUAGCGUUGUUCGGAAUGACUGGGCGUAAAGGGCGCGUAGGCGGCUUGGUCAGCCGGGUGUGAAAGCCCGCGGCUCAACCCCGGAACGGCAUCCGAUACGGCCAGUCUGGAGACCGGGAGAGGAGGGUGGAAUACCCAGUGUAGAGGUGAAAUUCGUAGAUAUUGGGUGGAACCCCGGUGGCGAAAGCGGCUCUCUGGCCCGGAUCUGACGCUGACGCGCGAAAGCGUGGGGAGCAAACAGG
rnacentral:rRNA from 1 species